CACUGGACCAUCUCUCCAGCCCAUAGAACAACGAUUUUUUUUAAUGUUGUAGUGAGUACAAAAUAAGGGUUUAUGUGAUCAACUUGACCGUAUCUAGGAUCACUAGGAGAAAAAUCUCUGGGCACGUCCUGAAGAAUUUUCUGGAUUAGACGAGUCAUUGUUGACUUAUAAUCCUUUGAAUACCUGCUGCUCAACCAUCUUGUAAAAGAGCUGGCUGUACUUACUGAUGAGACAAUGACUGAUAAGUGCGUAUAAAGUUGACACCUCAGAUUGGAAGGAAGACCCAGGGGAACCUGGGUCAAGAAGAUGAGCCCCCGUGAUAGGUGGUGUCAGUGUGACAUGGUUAUGGUGAGUAGUUGCAGCACUGAGGUGCAGCCAUGCUGAAAGCAUCACAGAAUGCAACAGGUAAGCUGUGAGUCUUGUCCUUUGGGUUUUCUCUCUAGAACACUGUGACUGUCAGUUUGACAGACAGACUCUAGAAUGACUUGGGAGCUGGACCUCUGGAUGUGUCUGUGGGGGAUGAUCUUGAUUGCAUUCAUUGAGGUGGGAGACCUGUCCACUGUGGGUGGAACCAUCCCCUAGUUAGGAUUCUGUCCUGUGUGAAUGUAGAAAGGGGGUUGAGUUGUAACAUGGUUUCUGGCUGUGGAUACAGUGUAACCAGUUGUUUCAAGCUCCUCCUGUCUUCCAUGAUAGACUGUACCUUGAACUGUGAACUUGAAUAAACCCUUUCUCUCUUAAGCUGUUUUUGUCAAGACAUUUUAUCACAGCAACAGGCAAAGGAAGUAAGACACCGGUCUUCCCUCAUCUAUAUCCAUUUCAGACCCUGGGGUAACGUUCUUGCCUUCUCCCCAUUUGGGCUUUUUCUUUUUUUUAGACGUAGUUGUGUCAGCCCAAAGCUGCAUGACUGAACGCUUGACUCAGGCUUCCUAGUUUUCCAAUUUUUCUUCUAUGUCUCACCUGAGAGAAACAUUCCUCCAUGGCGAGGGCCUCUGGGCAUGGCAAUUUGCACCCUGUCUCUAAAUCUAAACAUCUCUGCUUCUGCAGGAAGGUGGCAAUCUGCGGCAGAUGUGGAUCUGGGAGAGGACUGAGAUGCUGGAACACAGUUCAACUGACAAGAGUUGUCCUGGCGGAGGACAAGGUUGCCAUGUGUGUCACCUCAGGGUUUUCUGCCUACUUUUGCUCAUUUACCUGGGGUCAACUAAAGGAUUCCAUUCUUGUUUUAAAGGGGUAAGAGUGGAAAUACAGAGACCAAGACCAGCUGGAAGGCCAUGGCAAUGGACACAGAGAUGAGGAUGGAGGAGGGACCAACCAGAAAGACACAGAGGACAGAGGUGAGGCCUGAGCUCUCUGUAAUCUGAUCCUUCUUUACAGCCCCCUGCUCUACUGGAACAUUUGCUCUCUAGCUGUCCUUCAGCCCAGAAGGAGACACUGUGGUGAUGGCUUUAGACAGUAGAGUGUAUUUAUACACCCCCAAACAAGGCUUUCUCCUCAACCCACUCAAAUUGGAGACUAUUUAUCACCCUGCAGCUUCCUUCCAGGGAGACCUGUCUGGCUGCUGAGAGCGAAAGAUGGGGGGAAUUUGGACCCUGUUCAAAGAACUGAUGUGGGGGCGAAAUAAAAAAGGAAAGAGACAAGCCCUCCCCCACCUUGGCCCUCCCCCUCUCUGCCCCUCCGGAGCUGAACAGGGUUCCACAGCCAGAUUACCAGGGUCCUAACUUGUAUCUGACUCAGCACACAGUUGAGAAAAUAUCUCCCUUGUUCACUGAGUCCCCAGAUGGCACAUAUGUUGCGCUUGGAAUUUAGUGUGAAAACUAUUUCCACAGUGGAAAAAUGAUUGCCCGUGCAGGGGACUUGUGAGGAGAAUGAUCUUGGUGAAAAUGUUUUCCUUAAGGCACAUGAGAAUGUUGCAAUUGAUGGCAAGACUCUGGAGUGGAAACUUGACUGCAUUUAGGCCUUGUGAGGAGAGGGGUGAAGGGCUCAGAACCACAUUAAGAUGUCGUUUAUUAAACUUAAAAUCCUGGGAUCACCAACAGGGACAGCUGUACAGAGUCACAGCAUUUGAGUAAUGUUUCAAAAUGUCACCUGCAGAAGUCGCAGAGAUGAUUGAAGCUGAUCACCUUGGGUUGGCCAUUGCUAGGUCGGUCCCUCCAGCGACUUGCUGACAUGUGGGAGCUAUCCCUACUCAAUGGCUGGCUGGUGGUCAGCACUCCACUCUGCACACCACACAGCCCCCACUCAGCGUCUUUCUUAGAAAACUUAGUAUGUUUUUCCUUCACCUAUUUGUCCAAAAUUACAUUGUAUGCUCACCCCAAACCAUUCUUUGUACAUUCUAAUUCACACUGUAAACUUGAGGUUUGGAUGUAGGCUGUCCCCCACUUGUUUGAACACUUAAGUCUCCGGCAGGUGGCAUAGUUUUGGGAUGUUGUGAAACCUUUAGGACAUUGGUCCUAGCUGGUGGACAUAGGGCCAUUGUGUAAACCUUGAGAAUUUUGGUCAGCUCUCCCUCUGUGUCCUGGUCUGUCUUGAUGUAACAAGCUAUGCCCAAAACUAUUGCCACCACAGAUGAAAACCACCGCACCCACUGUGUGCUCCCUGCUAUGAGUCUAAAUCAUGAGCUAAGACAAGUCCUUCUCUCUCGAAGUUGCUUCUGUUAGUGUCUUAGUUGGCUUUCUAGUGCUGUGAUGAAACACUGUGACCAAAAACAACUUGGGGCGACAAUGUGUCACCUCUGGGCAGCUGAUGACGUGGCUUGUUGUUGCCGGGUCCUGGGGAGCUGCCCGUGAAGAUGCCUGAUUGCCAACCUUGUUCCGGAUUCCUUUUCGGCUGUCCAUGAAUGUGCCUGAUUCAGCUAACAGAUGAGUGACUGAUGUGCUGCUCCGACAGAAGCAAUGGGGCCAUGUGACCUUGAAGUGAUAGGGCCAUGUGACCUUGAAGUGAUGGGGCCACGUGACCUUGUACUUGGGCUAAAUGUUUUCUCUAUAUGUUAACUGCCUUAAGUACUUUUUAUAGUGAUGGAGAGCUAAUUAACAUACACAAAUUUCAAAAAGUUAGAGACUUUUUAAAAAUGGGAGAACUUUUGGCUCCUAUUAGUGAGAACUUCAAGUGAGGUUUUUAUUUUGAAACCAUGUCAGAGGACUUGUAGUCUAAAUGUCUCUUGAAAUGGCACACCUCAUAUGCACACCCAGUUUGUGCUUUACCUAUACCCUAUGUGUUCAUUGAUAUAAUGAAGCUGGCAACCAAGAUUAGCCAUCAUAGUAGGCAAGUUGCUGACUACCUGGAAUGGCUAUGGCAUCUCUUCCCUCGUUCUACAAACCUCUUGGAGAAGGAGCUGCUGCAUUCAUACCACCAUGGCUCACUGAGAAAAUUGCAAAAGUGGGCCAGGCUCUGGUUAGUGGGAAGAGACACCAUCAGCUAUUCAACCAGAGCCAGUGUGCAGUGACCUGUUUCAGGACCAGCCUGGUGGUGAAGCUCACUUCAGGAAGUUCUUGGCUUUGUGUUUCCAUUGCCAGAAGAGAUGAUCAGAGACUGGAUAAUUUAUAAAUAAUCAGAGUUUGUGUACUUUGUGGUUCUGCGGACUGUGAUGGCCUUUGCUCAGUACUGCUGAAGGUUCCAUGAUCCAUCGUGACACGGAGAAGGGCACAGGGAGAGACAACAGGAUGGUCUGAAAUAUCUUGUCCUUCAAACCACCUUGAUUGGAGGUUGCCAAUGCCCGUCUUCAAAUGUGGUCCCAGGGACUGAAGCCAAGGUUGGAGCUUGUCAGCGGUGUGCACUGCGGGGGAUGGAGCGGUCUUGCCACGGUCAGGUUAUUCCAGGAGUGGGAUGAGUUUACUUUCUUGGGAUCUGGGUUGCUGUUGGCUUGCUUGGAGCUCGUCUUCUCACAUAAGCUGCUGCUGUUUGUGUUCCCACACAACCUAAACUUAGACAAGAGGUUUUCCCCUAAUGUAGACUCUCAUAUUGAAUACUAUUCCAACCCAUUUUAAUCCUUUCAAAAGAAAAUAUGCUUGCCCACCAAUUUUAUCCAAUUCAACAAUGUCAACAGCAAAAUCUAACACAUACACAUUUUCAAAUCUAGAAAAGCUAAAAUGAAAUCCCACAAGAAGAAGAAGAAAAGGAAGAGGAAGAGGAGGAAGAGGAGGAGGGGGAAGGGGGAGGAGCAACUGCUUUGAAUUAGCUAUUAAAGAUAAUUCUUCAGAAAAAAAAUUCACUAAAGAAAUAUCCUACCAAGCUUGUCAGCAAUGAAUUCUAAACAAGUGGUGUGAAAAUAGUUACAAUAAAAUAAAGUGUGUGUGUGUGUAUGUGUGUGUGAGGGGGGGGGCAUUCAUCAACAAGCUGGUUAACAAGCAGCUAUAAAUACACUGGGUACAGUUCUGUUUCAUUCACAAAGACAAUCAUGGUGGACUUUGUUGAAUACUUUGCGGAAAUCAGAUCAAGGAUUAAAUACUAUUCAUGGCUUUUAAAAUUAAAGCUCUUAAAAGAUAAAAAUAAAUGAAGUGACAUU